rnacentral:rRNA from 1 species
GGGUUCUCGGAAGGAUCAUUAUCAAAACAGCGGACUUCGGUCCUUGCUGCACCCUUGUCUUUUGCGUACCGUAUGUUUCCUCGGCGGGCUUGCCUGCCGGUUGGACAUUAUCAAACCUUUUUGUAGUUGCAAUCAGCGUCAGAAAAUAAACAAUAAUUACAACUUUCAACAACGGAUCUCUUGGUUCUGGCAUCGAUGAAGAACGCAGCGAAAUGCGAAAAGUAGUGUGAAUUGCAGAAUUCAGUGAAUCAUCGAAUCUUUGAACGCACAUUGCGCCCCUUGGUAUUCCAUGGGGCAUGCCUGUUCGAGCGUCAUUUUGUACCCUCAAGCACUGCUUGGUGUUGGGCGUUUGUCCUGCAAAGGACUCGCCUGAAAGCGAUUGGCGGCCAACGUACUGGUGGUAGAGCGCAGCACAAUUUGCGUCUCUCCCUUCUACGUCGGCGUCCAUGAAGCCUUUUUUCAACGUUUGACCUCGGAUCAGGUAGGGAUACCCGCUGAACUUAAGCAUAUCUAACGG